GUAGUUUACUAUAGGAUGUACUUAGUGGCGGACGGGUGAGUAACACGUGGGUAAUCUGCCUGAGAGACCGGGACAACAGGGUGAAAACGCUGCUAAUACCGGAUAAGCUCACAAGUGCGAGAGCACCGGUGAGAAAAGGAGCAAUCCGCUUUCAGAUGAGCCCGCGGCUGAUUAGCUAGUUGGUGGGGUAAUGGCCUACCAAGGCGACGAUCAGUAGCCGGCCUGAGAGGGUGUACGGCCACACUGGAACUGAGACACGGUCCAGACUCCUACGGGAGGCAGCAGUGGGGAAUUUUCCGCAAUGGGCGAAAGCCUGACGGAGCAAUGCCGCGUGAGUGACGAAGGCCUUCGGGUUGUAAAGCUCUGUCUUCAGGGACGAAAAAAAUGACGGUACCUGAGGAGGAAGCCACGGCUAACUACGUGCCAGCAGCCGCGGUAAUACGUAGGUGGCAAGCGUUGUCCGGAAUUACUGGGCGUAAAGGGCGUGUAGGUGGAUUGAUCAGUCGGAUGUGAAAUACCCAGGCUUAACUUGGGAACUGCAUUCGAUACGGUCAGUCUUGAGUGCAGGAGAGGGCAGUGGAAUUCCCAGUGUAGCGGUGAAAUGCGUAGAGAUUGGGAGGAACACCAGUGGCGAAGGCGGCUGCCUGGACUGUAACUGACACUGAGGCGCGAAAGCGUGGGGAGCAAACAGGAUUAGAUA
rnacentral:rRNA from 1 species